rnacentral:rRNA from 1 species
CGGACGGGUGAGUAACACGUGGGUAACCUACCCAUCAGAGGGGGAGUAACACUUGGAAACAGGUGCUAAUACCGCAUAAUGUCUGCGGACCAAAGCGGGGGACCUCCGGGCCUCGCGCCAUCAGAUGAACCCAUAUGGGAUUAGCUAGUAGGUAAGGUAACGGCUUACCUAGGCGACGAUCCCUAGCUGGUCUGAGAGGAUGAUCAGCCACACUGGGACUGAGACACGGCCCAG